rnacentral:rRNA from 1 species
AUACGUAGGGAGCGAGCGUUGUCCGGAAUUACUGGGUGUAAAGGGUGCGUAGGCGGGGCAGCAAGUCAGGCGUGAAAUACCGGGGCUCAACUCCGGGGCUGCGCUUGAAACUGUUGCUCUUGAGUGAAGUAGAGGUAAGCGGAAUUCCUAGUGUAGCGGUGAAAUGCGUAGAUAUUAGGAGGAACACCAGUGGCGAAGGCGGCUUACUGGGCUUCAACUGACGCUGAGGCACGAAAGCGUGGGGAGCAAACAGGAUUAGAUACCCUGGUAGUCCAUGCUGUAAACGAUGAUUGCUAGGUGUGGGGGGGAUUGAUCCCUUCCGUGCCGGAGUUAACACAAUAAGCAAUCCACCUGGGGAGUACGAUCGCAAGAUUGAA